AAUUGCUUUAAAUCGUUGAAAAGUUCCCUCGACUAUCUUUCGUCUCCAUCAUCAGACUGUAAUGGCACUUGUAACUCACAUAGGUGCAAAGUUCUCGUCAAUAGAAACGAAUUAAGUUCAAAUAGCAGGUAAUUGCUAUAAUUCGUUGAAGAGUUCCCUCGACUAUCUUUCGUCUCCAUCAUCAGACUUUAAUGGCACUUGUAACUCAUAUAGGUGCAAAGUUCUCAUCAAUAGAAACGAAUUAAGUUCAAACAGCAGGUAAUUGCUAUAAAUCGUUAAAGAGUUCCCUCGACUAUCUUUCGUCUCCAUCAUCAGAUCGACUCCAGACCUUUAUUAAAUAGUAGUGCUUUAUAGUACUUAAUGAAAACAUGAUUAAAUUUACUAGUCACCGUUACGAUUUUUGAAAGUUGCCCUCGAUUUCUCUGGGAUCCCAUCAUCAGAUCCUGGUUUCCUUAUCAUGGUACCAAACUAUGAAUAUAUCCUUUCCAACAAAAAAAGAAUUAUCCAAAUCGGUUCAUAAACGAAGAAGUUAUCUCCGAACAUACAUA
rnacentral:misc_RNA from 1 species